UACAGAGGUGCCAAGCGUUAGGCGGAAUCACUGGCUUAAAGCGCGUGUAGGUGGACGGGUAAGUAUCUUGUGAAAUCCCACGGCUCAACCGUGGAACUGCUGGAUAUACUGCUUGUCUUGAGGCACUUAGGGGCAGCUGGAACAAAUGGUGGAGCGGUGAAAUGCGUAGAUAUCAUUGGAACGCCAAAGGCGAAAGCAGGCUGCCGGGAGUGAUCUGACACUGAGACGCGAAAGCCAGGGGAGCAAACGGGG
rnacentral:rRNA from 1 species